rnacentral:rRNA from 1 species
AGUGAACGCUGGCGGUAGGCCUAACACAUGCAAGUCGAACGGCAGCACAGUAAGAGCUUGCUCUUACGGGUGGCGAGUGGCGGACGGGUGAGGAAUACAUCGGAAUCUACUUUUUCGUGGGGGAUAACGUAGGGAAACUUACGCUAAUACCGCAUACGACCUACGGGUGAAAGCAGGGGAUCUUCGGACCUUGCGCGAUUGAAUGAGCCGAUGUCGGAUUAGCUAGUUGGCGGGGUAAAGGCCCACCAAGGCGACGAUCCGUAGCUGGUCUGAGAGGAUGAUCAGCCACACUGGAGCUGAGACACGGUCCAGACUCCUACGGGAGGCAGCAGUGGGGAAUAUUGGACAAUGGGCGCAAGCCUGAUCCAGCCAUACCGCGUGGGUGAAGAAGGCCUUCGGGUUGUAAAGCCCUUUUGUUGGGAAAGAAAAGCAGCAGGUUAAGACCCCGCUGUUCUGACGGUACCCAAAGAAUAAGCACCGGCUAACUUCGUG